rnacentral:rRNA from 1 species
UCCUUCGGGGCUGCGAGUCUUUAACCUAGCGGCGGACGGGUGAGUAACGCGUGGGCAACCUGCCCUAAAGCCCGGGAUAACAGCGGGAAACUGCUGCUAAUACCGGAUAUCUUUAACGGGAGGCAUCUUCUGUUAAAGAAAGAUUUUCUCGCUUUAGGAUGGACCCGCGUCCCAUUAGCUUGUUGGUGAGGUAACGGCUCACCAAGGCGACGAUGGGUAGCCGGCCUGAGAGGGUGGACGGCCACACUGGGACUGAGACACGGCCCAGACUCCUACGGGAGGCAGCAGUAGGGAAUAUUGCGCAAUGGAGGAAACUCUGACGCAGCGACGCCGCGUGAACGAUGAAGGCCUUCGGGUCGUAAAGUUCUGUCCUUGGGGAAGAAGGGCAUUUUCGGAUGUCUUGACGGUACCCAAGAAGAAAGCCCCGGCUAACUACGUGCCAGCAGCCGCGGUAAUACGUAGGGGGCAAGCGUUGUCCGGAAUUACUGGGCGUAAAGGGUGCGCAGGCGGCCAUUUAAGUCAGGUGUGAAAUUCCACGGCUUAACCGUGGG